UACGAAGGGGGCUAGCGUUGCUCGGAAUCACUGGGCGUAAAGCGCACGUAGGUGGAUCUUUAAGUCAGGGGUGAAAUCCUGGAGCUCAACUCCAGAACUGCAUUUGAUACUGGGGAUCUCGAGUCCGGGAGAGGUGAGUGGAACUGCGAGUGUUGAGGUGAAAUUCGUAGAUAUUCGCAAGAACACCAGUGGCGAAGGCGGCUCACUGGCCCGGUACUGACGCUGAGGUGCGAAAGCGUGGGGAGCAAACAGG
rnacentral:rRNA from 1 species